UGGACUACCAGGUCUUCACGGUUGUAAAUCCUCGCAUACAAAGCCUGACAGGAAUAAUACGUCUAUCAGGAAUAUUCAUAGCUGAUGGUGGUUUUGAAUGGGCAGCAGAAAGAGUAUUUGACUUCCUCUAAGGAAAAUUAGAUCUUCUUCCAUCUCUGCCACCAUUUCGUGGAGUUUGAAACAAGUCACUGAACCCUUUUGGGUUUCACUUUCUGAAUUUGGAAAAAUAAAGGCAUUAUAUUAGAUAUUA